rnacentral:rRNA from 1 species
GACGGAGGGUGCAAGCGUUGUUCGGAUUCAUUGGGCGUAAAGGGUGCGUAGGCGGCGCGGUAAGUCGGGUGUGAAAUCUCGGAGCUUAACUCCGAAACUGCAUUCGAUACUGCCGUGCUUGAGGACUGGAGAGGAGACUGGAAUUUACGGUGUAGCGGUGAAAUGCGUAGAUAUCGUAAGGAAGACCAGUGGCGAAGGCGGGUCUCUGGACAGUUCCUGACGCUGAGGCACGAAGGUCAGGGGAGCAAACGGG